rnacentral:rRNA from 1 species
AGCGAACGCUGGCGGCAGGCUUAACACAUGCAAGUCGAGCGGGCACACUAGUGGUGUCAGCGGCUGACGGGUGAGUAACGCGUGGGAACGUGCCCUUCGGUUCGGAAUCACUCAGGGAAACUUGAGCUAAUACCGGAUACGCGCGAGAGCAGUAAGGUCUAUCUGCCGAAGGAUCGGCCCGCCUCUGUUUAGCUCGUGGGUGAGGUUACGGCUCACCAAGGCGACGAUCAGUAGCUGGUCUGAGAGGAUGAGCAGACACACUGGGACGGAGACACGGCCCGGACUCCUACGGGAGGCAGCAGUGGCGAAUGUUGGACAGUGGGGGGAACCCUGAUCCAGCCAUGCCGCGAGAGUGAUGACGGCCUUAAGGUUGUAAAGCACGUUACUCCGGGACGAUAAUGACGGUACCGGAAGAAUAAGCCCCGGCUAACUUCGUG